GAUGAACGCUGGCGGCGUGCUUAACACAUGCAAGUCGAACGGGAAACCUUUUAUUGAAGCUUCUGCAGAUUUAGCUGGUUUCUAGUGGCGGACGGGUUAGUAACGCGUGGGUAACCUGCCUUCUACAGGGGGAUAACAACCAGAAAUGGUUGCUAAUACCGCAUAAGCGCACAGGACCGCAUGGUCCGGUGUGAAAAACUCCGGUGGUAUAAGAUGGACCCGCGUUGGAUUAGCUAGUUGGCAGGGUAACGGCCUACCAAGGCGACGAUCCAUAGCCGGCCGGGGAGGGGGAACGGCCACAUUGGGACUGAGACACGGACCAGACUCCUACGGGAGGGAGCAGUGGGGAAUAUUGCACAAUGGAGGAAACCCUGAUGAAGCGACGCCGCGUGAAGGAAGAAGUAUCUCGGUAUGUAAACUUCUAUCAGCAGGGAAGAUAGUGACGGUACCUGACUAAGAAGCCCCGGCUAACUACGUG
rnacentral:rRNA from 1 species